rnacentral:rRNA from 1 species
CUACGGGGGGCUGCAGUGAGGAAUAUUGCACAAUGGGGGGAACCCUGAUGCAGCAACGCCGCGUGGAGGAUGACGCAUUUCGGUGUGUAAACUCCUUUUAUAUGUCAAGAAAAUGACGGUAGCAUAUGAAUAAGCACCGGCUAACUCUGUGCCAGCAGCCUCGGUAAUACGGAGGGUGCAAGCGUUACUCGGAAUCACUGGGCGUAAAGGACGCGUAGGCGGGUUGGAAAGUCAGGUGUGAAAUCCUACAGCUUAACUGUAGAACUGCACUUGAAACUUCUAAUCUAGAGUAUGGGAGGGGGAGAUGGAAUUAGUGGUGUAGGGGUAAUAUCCGUAGAUAUCACUAGGAAUACCUAAAGCGAAGGCGAUCUCCUGGAACAUUACUGACGCUAAGGCGUGAAAGCGUGGGGAGCAAACAGGAUUAGAUACCCCAGUAGUC